rnacentral:rRNA from 1 species
GAUGAACGCUGGCGGUGUGCUUAACACAUGCAAGUCGAACGAUGAAAGCGGGAGCUUGCUCCUGCUGGAUUAGAGGCGAACGGGUGAGUAACACGUGAGCAAUCUGCCCCGAACUCUGGGAUAAGCGUUGGAAACGACGUCUAAUACCGGAUACGACGCGCGAAGGCAUCUUCUGCGCGUGGAAAGAACUUCGGUUCGGGAUGAGCUCGCGGCCUAUCAGCUAGUUGGUGAGGUAACGGCCCACCAAGGCGACGACGGGUAGCCGGCCUGAGAGGGUGACCGGCCACACUGGGACUGAGACACGGCCCAGACUCCUACGGGAGGCAGCAGUGGGGAAUAUUGCACAAUGGGCGCAAGCCUGAUGCAGCAACGCCGCGUGAGGGACGACGGCCUUCGGGUUGUAAACCUCUUUUAGUAGGGAAGAAGCGAAAGUGACGGUACCUGCAGAAAAAGCACCGGCUAACUACGUGCCAGCCGCCGCCGUAAAAC